AAUCGAAAAUCAGGUGUUUCAUGUCUGCGUUGCUACAUCCACAGUGCGAACAUUCACUAUUUCGAAUAAUGCCAAGUAUUGCUAGGUGUGACGGUGCAGUAUUAUGGCCAAAACGCAAUCUAUUAAUGGUGGUAAUGUAAUCACGGCUGGCUUCAGGAAGUUUGUUGUACUAAGGUCUUGUUGGAAAAUAUUGUACAAAUUUGGGGGAUAUCCAUUCAACAGUGCUAAUCCUGUGGUUAAAGGCCCAGAAACAUUAAUAUGAUGAGUUACAAUUUUGUUUAUGAUUUGCAUAUUAUUAGAAGAUAAAAGUCUGAGACAAUACCUCUCAAUGAGUAGUAAUUGUCUCAGAAUUACUGGCAUUAUUUUGGUCUACUUCCAUGGCCCUUAUGGGAGUAGAGCACAUAGCACCAGAUAUUAGUCUCAAUGCUGUAUUCUGCACAAUGUCUAGUUUCUUUUUAUGUUUACUAUCAAAGUAAGCUAAAGUGCUGUAAUCAAAAUGACUUCGUACUAUUGAUUUAAAUAACAUGGACAAAAUUUUGGGGUCAGCUCCCUAGGACACACCUGCCAGACAUCUUAUUAUAUUUAAACCUUUCAUAGCAUUGUUUGUUAUGUAUUUAAUAUGCUCUUCAAAAGUCAUCUUCUGGUCAAUGAUGACAUCCAAAAAUUUCUUUGAACUGACUCUAUUUAUGACUUUACCAUUAUAAAGAACAUUGCCAUUUUGUGCAUCAUUGCCAAAAAUCAUUAGACUGCUUUUGGAUGUAUUAAUUAAUAUUUAAAUGUAAUUGCAAUUAAUUAUGUAAUUUGUUAUAAUAUUUUGAUAAUUGGCUUAAAGCUUAAUUAAUGUUAUCUAUUGCUAUUUGGAUAUUUUGGUUGGAGCAGUAUAGCACAAUAUCAUCUGCAAACUGAAGGAUAUUUACAUUUGUAGUAUUUACAUAUCUCACAAACAUACAAAUUAUAUAACAAAGGUGAUAAAGUGGCGCCUUGCAUAGUACCCUUUAAUGUAAUUCUUGGGCUAUAAAGAAUAUUAUUAUGUCUCACAUAUAAGACUCUACUGUGAAGAAAACUGUAAAGCCACUUACAUAGUUGUCCAGGGACACCUAAGUUGGUUAAAAUUUUAACAAGUAUUCCGGGAUCAACAUUAUCAAAAGCUCCUUGAACAUCUAAGAAGACACAAACAGUGUGUGAAUUCAUGUUUUUGGAACAUUUCAGGUCUGUAAUCAGCGAUAUGAAACUGUCAGUGCAACUACACCCACAAAAUGAUACCAUUAGCCUCAACAAACCAAUCAAGACGAGCUUUAAUUAUGUUUUCAAACAGUUUGCCAAAACAUGAGGAUAAAGAAAUUGGACGGUAGGAGCUAGCUGAAUCAGGAGAUUUAUCUGGCUUAAGUAUGGGAAUAACACAUUGUGUUUUCAAUGAGUUGGGUAUUAAUUUCUUGUCCCAUAAAGCAUUAAGAAUAUUUAAAAACACUACCUGUACACACACAUUCAUGUAGUUUUUUAAUCAAAAUAUAUGGGUAAUCAUCUAAGCCGGGAGUAGAAUUGCGUCUAGAUCUCAAACUCAUUGUAAAUUCGGUCCAUAUAAAGUUAUCUAAUAAAUGUUUUGAAUUUC